AGAAAUUGAGUAAUUGGAGACUGUUUGAUUGUGUUGUAAAUUUAUGGUUUGAAUUGAAUGGCUUAUGGUGAUAUUGGCAUGAAUGGGAAUUGGAAAUUGUGUUGAAAUUGUAUGAACUAUUUGUUUUGCCUUAACAGGCUGGGUAGUAAUAUAAUUGCCAUGUCAUGCUGUCGAAACUUUUAUUGAUUUGGUGGGAUAUUGAUUAGUCACUACAGUGGUGGGUUUUUGUAGACCAGCCUAUUAGAAAGGGGCACGGUGAACCAGGUUAUAUUUUACCUCGGUAUGAGAGGCGCGAAAGGUAUCUCCUGAGGUAAAGCUUUAGAGUUCACUACACGCUAAACCACCACGUGAGGGUGAACUCAGCCAACGCUAAGGAACGAUUAUGCUUUUAAACGUAAAAAUGUAUUUCAUGCGUAUAUGAACUUUUCUUUAAUAGCCUUGGCGGACUCAGUUGGAUGCCCUGGCCAAGGUAUCCCCGAGAAUGAGUUUUGGCACGAGCCAAAUUUUUAAGAAAUUCAUAAGCCAUGUUGAUUAUUUGAGUGAAAUGAAAUUAUUUUAUUUAGUUGAAAUGAGUUUGAAACGUUAUGAAUCAUAGUACGAUGAACUAUUUUAAGUUGUCUCAAUUUACUCGACUUUAGAUAUUUUAGAUGAUGUUUGUUUACUCACUGAGUUAUAUAAACUCACCACCCUCAUUUUCACUCAUUUCAGGCUCAGGAUAUUCUGUAGAUAGCUGAUUUCGUCGAGGAUCUACUUAAGGAUUUACAUCCUUAGAAAUCAAAGGUCUACCUUCUUGUACAUAUUUGUUUAUUUUGGGGGCCCACAUGUCAUUGUAGAAUAUUUUGUAUACCUGGCUGCGUGUGCCACUGUAUGUAUGAAUAUAUUUUGCUUUUACGCUACAAAAAUUAUUUACGUAGAGUUCUAUAAAUAUUGUUUUAUAAGAAAAUAAAAUAUUUUAUUUAAUAUUUUUAAUUAGUUUGAUUAGCCAUAAUUUCAUUUCAAAUGGAUGAUUUAGAUUGCUAAAAUUAUUUUUAGAUAAGAAAUGUAUAUUUUUCUAUUGUAUACUGUAUUUUCAC
rnacentral:lncRNA from 1 species